rnacentral:rRNA from 1 species
AGAUACACCUGUUCCCAUGCCGAACACAGAAGUUAGGCCCGAGUACGCCGGAUGUAGUGGGGGGUUGCCCCCUGUUAGAGACGGUAGUCGCUUAGC